GUCCCGUUUAAACCUCAAAAGGCACGAAAAGGUGCUUUAUCAUCAGCUCCUACCUGAAGCACCCGGCACACUUUCUUGAUACCAGAACGUUAUCUUAUAUUGAAGUUUACUAAUAUGUUAUGCAUGUGCAGUUCUUAGAUUGCUAUGCCACACUGUUGGCGGAGCUAGUCCGCAGCCUUGGCCAUUCCCAACUCCUACCUCUGUACACUAGCGAGGCAAAAACCCUCAGAGAAACCUGGAGGCGUAAAACCACCAUAGGGCUAUCAGCCUGACACCUUAAGUUUCUGUCCCACACCACUUUACAUAAGAGAACAGGCUAUAGCACAAGCAAUUUGCCUCAACGGCAGGCCUACGGCACACAAAUAUAUAUAUUAUUAUUGGUAUUUAUAUAGCGCCAGCUUAUUCCGCAGUUCUUUAAAAUAAAAGGGGAAUUUACCAAAUGAGACCAUAACAAAAUGUAACCAGAACAAUAGGUAGUGGAGGACAUAGAAACAUAGAAUGUGACGGCAGAUAAGAACCAUUCGGCCCAUCUAGUCUGCCUAAUUUUCU